rnacentral:rRNA from 1 species
AGAGUUUGAUCCUGGCUCAGGACGAACGCUGGCGGCGUGCCUAAUACAUGCAAGUCGAGCGAAUCAUCAGGAGCUUGCUCCUGAUGGUUAGCGGCGGACGGGUGAGUAACACGUGGGCAACCUGCCUGUAAGACUGGGAUAACACCGGGAAACCGGUGCUAAUACCGGAUAAUUCUUUUCCUCUCAUGAGGAAAAGCUGAAAGUCGGUUUCGGCUGACACUUACAGAUGGGCCCGCGGCGCAUUAGCUAGUUGGUGAGGUAACGGCUCACCAAGGCGACGAUGCGUAGCCGACCUGAGAGGGUGAUCGGCCACACUGGGACUGAGACACGGCCCAGACUCCUACGGGAGGCAGCAGUAGGGAAUCUUCCGCAAUGGACGAAAGUCUGACGGAGCAACGCCGCGUGAGUGAUGAAGGCCUUCGGGUCGUAAAACUCUGUUGUUAGGGAAGAACAAGUACCGGAGUAACUGCCGGUACCUUGACGGUACCUAACCAGAAAGCCACGGCUAACUACGUGCCAGCAGCCGCGGUAAUACGUAGGUGGCAAGCGUUGUUCGGAAUUAUUGGGCGUAAAGCGCGCGCAGGCGGUCCUUUAAGUCUGAUGUGAAAGCCCACGGCUCAACCGUGGAGGGUCAUUGGAAACUGGGGGACUUGAGUGCAGAAGAGGAAAGCGGAAUUCCACGUGUAGCGGUGAAAUGCGUAGAGAUGUGGAGGAACACCAGUGGCGAAGGCGGCUUUCUGGUCUGUAACUGACGCUGAGGCGCGAAAGCGUGGGGAGCAAACAGGAUUAGAUACCCUGUAGUCCACGCCGUAAACGAUGAGUGCUAAGUGUUAGAGGGUUUCCGCCCUUUAGUGCUGCAGCUAACGCAUUAAGCACUCCGCCUGGGGAGUACGGCCGCAAGGCUGAAACUCAAAGGAAUUGACGG